UAAUAAGAAUAUAAUCUUCUGGAGCUUUGUGGUUCAAACUGUGUCUCUAUCGAAUGUGUCUGGGCAUCGUUACCAGCAAAGCCAGGUAAGGCUCUAGUAGUAGCAUUUCUACCGUUCAGUUCCCCAGAGACAGAGAGAUCUCAAUCUGUGCUGACCCUGACCGGAGCGCUUAAAGUGGAACCGUCACCUCCCAGGCGUUUAACUAUUAUGUUUACUUAUUUCCUAUAUUUAAUAAAGCAUAUACACGCUGUUGCACUCACAUGAAACGUGCUGUCCUGCUUAACCUCUGGUUUGACAAGUCUUUCCAAUGGCAGAACAUUUUAAGUGAUGCUCAAUGUGAAUUUUAAGUGUUUUGCUUUUUUUAUCUUUUCUUGUGUUCUCUUGUUAUGUUGUCUUUUUUGUUUUAUUUUUUGUUUUAUUUUUUAUUCUGCACUAAUACCUUUCUUCUUUCCCUUCAAGGAGCACAAGGAAAGUGCUAACCUGCUUUGAAUGCGUCUUUACCAGCAAAGCCAGGUAAGGCUCUAGUAGUAGCAUUUCUAUUGUUCAGUUACCCAGAGACAGAGAGAUCUCAAUCUGUGCUGACCCUGACCUGAGCGUUUAAAGUGGAACCGUCACCUCCCAGGCAUUUUACUAUUAUGUUUACUAAUUUCCUAUAUUUAACAAAUAUGUUCUUGUGAGGUCUGACAAAUGAAAUUAAAUACAGAAAUGAACAGUACUGUAUUUAACAGGGACAGUGCUGUGGAAACAUUGGAUAUUAUAAAUAAAGACUUGAAGUUUCUUUUUAUCUGAGGUUGUAACUUUUACGGUGGUCCAUAUUGUAAUGCCAAAUGUAUGUAUUGGAAUCUAAGUUUCAAUCUAGGAAGACGAAUAGUGUUUGUCACUAACUAUUUUCUGUCUUUUUCUUUAGUCAGGAACAAGCAAAAGGAGGAUGACGAUGACAUGAUAACUAAAAAGCUGCAAUAUACAAUUUCAAAUGCCCUGGGACUUCACCUGGAUGAUAAGACUGUUUGCCAGCUGGAUCAUGUCUACUGGAUGAACAUCUCCCAUCAAAUGCCACCCUUUUAAACUAAACUGCUACCGAAGUAAACUUUGUCCCAGGUAGAAUUGGUCUGGGCAAGUUUAGAAUCUCUGAUUUGGAUGAUGAGUAAUUCAUCCCCAUGUACGUGUAAUGUGUAAUUUUAUUCCAUGUGAGCAUUAUCAUAUAAUAAAAUGCCUUUAUUGACAG